rnacentral:tRNA from 1 species
UCUGGGGUAGUUCAACGGUAGAACGCUGCACUGUUAAUGCAGAUGUUGGAGGUUCGAAUCCUCCCCCCAGAGCCA